UUUGGUCCGUACAAUGCAAUAAACAAACCUCCUGUGUAUUAGCUUUAGCUUUUAACGCUUCUAUCUCAGUCUAUGAUGAGUGGUGAAACUGUAAGGAAGAAGCCUUCUGCUUUAUAAGGCUUCUGGCCUACCCUUGUUCUCACAUAUACCUAUUUGUCCAGCACCUAUUACGACGUAGGGCAAUGGUAGUUGUAUGACAUAAUGCAAAAAUGCUGUCUAUAUACUGUAAUUGAGUGAAACAGGUUUAAUUACGCUUCCUGCCUUUUCUGAUUGAUCCAUCACUGAUCAGAAACCUUGUGAUCUUCAAGACUGGAUGUGAGAUGGCAGCCUGUAUUGUAAUUCUGUGUUAAAUGUGGAUUGCCUUUUGUCCUGGGAGCAAGAAGGAGCAAGAGCUGGGUUGGAAGGCAGCAGUGACGUGCUCAAGCCAAGUCCCUGAUGUGGGCAACUGGAGAUGAGCAGAUCUCAGUGCAUGUCAGGGAGGCAAUAAGCUGCCCCACCACUGUGGAUGUAGACUGAGAUACCUCUCCCUCCCCAACAAGAGAGCUGACAGGACAAACCUGCUCGAGGAUGAGUUUGGGCUGAGUACUGAAGAAGACUGAGGAUCUCAGCUUUACCGGUUGGCAUCUGGAAGUGGCCACAACAGAGACAAGCUUCUUGGAGAUAAUGGUUGCAGGUGAAGGUCCACCUAACUGGUGGUUGUCUGAAUCCAAUGAAAUGAUCCCCAGGUCUUGUGAAGCUGCCACCUGAACACUAUUUUUGGGGACUGAUCCAUGAGUUGUGAGACUUGCUCCUGCACAGACCAGGAACAAGAUGGAGCACAGCAAUGCUGCUGCACAUUAACCUGCCACCGAAUCCUUGAGGAGGGUUUGCAGCCUCUCUCGGGACUGCAUCUGACAAUAGAGUGACUGCAUCUGACAAAAAGAGUGACAGAAGUUCUUGAUGAGAAAGGAGGAACUUCCUGACACAUUCAAAUCUCCAUCCUAUGCCCUGCUAAUGUUUUGCUGCUGUACAUUUAAAUCAGUGUGAUAUGGCUCCUUGGAACCAAUUCUUUGAGUGUCACUUUUGUGCUGAAGAAAAUCACCUCUCCUGAGUAUCUUCUAGAGGUGGAUGAUGUUGGUAAAGGAGACUGGCUUUGGAAUUUGGUGCCGGAGAUAAGAAAUCCACCCUCAGGAUAUGCAGAAUGAUGUUGUUGUAAUCAUUCUUCAAAGGGAGAUCCACAGUAAACAAAUGUUGUUAGCCUGUCUCCUCUGCAGCUUCUUUUGGUGAGCAGCAGAACUUCAUGAAAAAGACUGGAAAUAAAGAGGAGAGAGCUUUAGCUGAAUUGUAAGUAGAUAUUUUUCAUCUUUCCAGUCCCAGGAACGAUCAAUUGUUAUAGGUCCGUGUAAGAAUAUUCACCUCAAAAAUGUUUUUAUAUAAUUUUUUAAAGCAGAAAAUGUUUUGCCUCAGAAUCAGUUGACUCUUUGAAGCCUGCCAGUAUUGCUAUAAGACAGCAAGACUGGGAAACAAAAGUUUACCUGAAAAAAAAAGUGCUUGGACCAGAUAACACUAUAUGACAGCAAUAGGACUUCAAGACUUGAGGUACAUGAAGAAUUUUACUGUUGUUGUUAUGCAUGCCAAAAUCACACCCCCUCAUCACUGCUGCUAUGGUGACAAAAUUUGUAAAUGCAGAUUAUGACUUACAGCCACCUUUUUUUUUUUUUCUUUUCUGCAAAGAUAAUCCUCCUAAAUAUUACCAGAUCAGCCCUAAGGAAUCAAAACUUUCCAGUCCAGUUAAUAAGUUGAGUGGCCAUAGUGUUCAAGGUUUCCUAGCCUGUCCAGUAAGUGUGUUUCACCUUUGCCAUGAGGACACUGUCUCUGAAUUGAAGAACCCAGCCUCUCCAGUCUUCCACUCUAGGGCUUUUAAUUUGAAACUCCUAACAAAACCGUGCAAUGUUAACAUAGAUGUGGUCACUUUUUGUGCUGUGGACACAACUGAAACAGGGUGGGGUUAGGAUCACUGCCUUACUCAGCUGAGGGUUUGAAUCCUCUGGAGGGCAGAUGCACAACAUUUGUAAGCACAAGCUCAAACAUGAUCAGUUGGAAAGAAGAACAUGUUCAUAUGUUAUCUAUAUUCUUUCCCCAUGAAAAACUGUUCCUUUUCGCUUAAGCGCAGUGGGCAACAGAAUAGAGCUAACCUUCUAGCCAGUGUGGAGGUGCUUUGCUCAUUUCUGCAUUCUGUAUAAAGUCAGACUUGCGUUAGUAUGCAACAGAUUUCUGCUCACGGUUGCUUACCACUCAAGGAACUGGAAGUUGAAAGCCCAAAAGCCACGUAUAAUACAAAUCCUUGUUUGUUAAUAUUGUCUUCCAGUGGAAUAGAUGGAAAUCUGCUCUUUGGUUUCUUACCCACCACUUCAGAUUUGAAAGAGUUGGAGAGAUCUCUCAUUAGUUCUUGUAAACAGUUAAGAGAACGGAAUCCAGGGAUUAUAAAUUAGAGGUUUGAAAUGAUUUAUUGUCACAUGGUUUAAAUUCUUAUCUGAACUGGAUCUGUAAUUCUGAAACUUCUGAGGUUUGCUGAUCCCUAAUAUAAUCCCUAAUCCAUAAUAUAGAUCUUUAAGGUCAAACUGAAAUCAGUGAAGUUAAAUAGUGCUUAAUGCAGGGAUAAUAAAAACCAGAAGGUGAUUCAUAUGUUGUAGGAUUAAGCUACAUUUGCUGCAUAAUAAGUGCAGGAAGAAUCAUCUAUUCUUUUCAUAUUUUGAGCUCUUUCUGACAACUGUAGCUGAAAAAGGUGGUAUUGUAAAUCAGAGAAAGAGAAGAAAGCAUUCAGUGCCAUUGUCAGUACUUACCAGAUUUCGGUCUCGGUUAGAAAAGCGCUUGUCUAAUUUUACCACUAUUCAUGAAAGUGCUUCUGGAUAUGCUUAAUCUUAGCAUGCUUAAAGCUACCAUGAGUUUAAAUGUCUUCCUGAAUCUGGGCCUCAGAUAUCUCCUUGCCUCCAGUUCUGUUGUGUACAUUUUAACCUGUGCCAGGUUUCUAGAAUUGAAACAAGCAACCGCUGCUCACAGUGUUUGUGCUCUGUUUGUAAUAGAAAGGUUGGAGUCAUACAUAAGGAUUCAUCUUUGCAAAAGGAAGGGAAAGCGUGGAACUGCAGUCUUACAACUUCGAAUAGCUAGUGCUGGUACACAUGGUAGCAGCUGAGAACCACUGCAACAGAGUAUUGACUGCUUUAUUGAGAAGAUGAAUUGCGGAAUGUUAUCAUCUUUAAGAAAGGCUUUCUAUCUUCCCCUUUUCUAAUCCUCCUCCUGAAAAGCACUGGAAACAUUUAAUUUAUUUACAUUUGAAAAAGUCCUAACCGAGGAAAGUAUUUUAGCAAAUUUACACAUAUGUUUUGAGUUAAGCAUAUGCUUAGGUAUUUUGCAGAUUAAUCUUACUAUUUUGCACUUUAAUUUUAUGGUUUCCUGCUGUACCUUUGGUUAGAAAUCUUACCUACAGCUAGAACUUGUCUGCUAAUAUUAAAGGUCUCAUGCAUUCUCAAUGGUUGUCAUUCCCCCAGCACUCAGAUCAAACAAAUCCAUUAGAAAAUGUAAAUCCAAGUUGAUUUUUCUUGCUUUGGAAACAAAGGCUCAGUUGUUAGAAUCCAAGCGUGUCUUCUAUUAUCUAAGCAUUUUUUUGCAGAACGCACGUGGAUUCAUAUCCCUCAGCAUAGUGCAUCCUUUGUUUGAUUUGCUUUCAACAU